GGAUGCGAUCAUACCAGCACUAAAGCACCGGAUCCCAUCAGAACUCCGAAGUUAAGCGUGCUUGGGCGAGAGUAGUACUAUGAUGGGUGACCACCUGGGAAGUCCUCGUGUUGCAUCUC
rnacentral:rRNA from 1 species